UUGCAAAUAAAUCAUGAACUACAAACCCUAUUAACAUAAUAGUCAUUAACACUAUCAAAUUUAAUCAUGAAAAUAAUAAUAUCCAUUUACUUAUAGUUUAAAAAGGUUUCUUGAACUCCAAGUGUUGAAGGAACCCUUGGAUGAACACUUAACAUACCUUAAUGAUUGAAUUCUGAAAAGAUUGAUGGUAAGUUCUUGAGUCUUGAAUUUAAAUUUAAAUCUCCUAGGGUUUGUUUUUU
rnacentral:lncRNA from 1 species